AUCCGGUUGGGAGGGGUGAGAAAUUUGUGCGUGACUUAUUUGAGGACUGGGAGGCGCGCCAUUUCCGGGAGAUUAUCACUUGUUUGCGGGCAUUCGGGAGUCUCUAUGCAUUUGCGGAAGACUCACGGAUCUUCCGGGAGACUUGGGAUGUCUGCACAAGUAAACAAAAGUCUAACACACAAAACAUAAAACAAAGGCAAAUGCAACUAAGGUACGCAUGAUAUAAUCUUAUAAAGCCAAUUAACAUAGUGUCAAUUUACAAAGAGCUGCGAACAAAGAGACAAUCAGGAGCAAAGGCAGUGAUGGAAAGUAAAGUCAUGGAACAUAAAACAGCAGACAAACUGUGCAGCAUGCUGUGAUGCUCUUUUUUUCCUCUGGUCUCUUUGUGUCAUCAGUGUGGGAUCAGGCUCAUGUGUGUCCAGCUCUGUGUCUCUGAAGAGUGACUGUUCAAAGGAGGGUAUACUACCAGACCUUAGAGAGGAAACACCAUCAUCUGCCAACAGUGUUGAAAAUGAGUUACCAGAUUCAGAAGGCAAGACUCACAGGAGCCACAAGAGUUUUACAGACAAUCUCCAGUGGAUCUUCCAGGUGGGGAACACAUAGAUAAGACUUCACAUGUGUAGUUUUUCAUUCGUGUGUAUUUGAUUAUUAG
rnacentral:lncRNA from 1 species